UUCCUUCUACCUCUGCAGAUAAAAUGGAGAAUCUGGAUGUGGAUAGUGAAGCUAAGAAACUACUGGGACUAGGACAGAAACAUCUGGUGAUGGGUGACAUUCUAGCAACUGUUAAUGCAUUCCAGGAAGCAGUUAGUCUUUUAGGUAAAAAGUAUGGAAAAACAGCUAAUGAGUGUGGAGAAGCAUUCUUUUAUUUAUGGGAGUUGGCCAGAAUGAAGACUGGAGUGUUGGGAAAUGUCUUAGAAGGAGUGCAUAUAGAAGAGGAAGAAGGAGAAAAAAACAGAAGAUGAAUCUUUGGUCGAAAAUAAUAAUAAUGUAGAUGAAACUGAAGGCUCAGAGGAAGAAGACAAAGAAAAUGACAAGGCUGAAGAAACAACAAAUAAACCAGUUCUUGAAAAAAAAUUCUCCUCAAGAAAAUGAAGAGGAAGAGAUUGGGAAUUUAGAACUUGCCUGGGAUAUGCUGGAUUUAGCCAAGAUCAUUUUUAAGAGGCAAGAAACAAAAGAAGCCCAGUUUUAUGCUGCACAAACCCAUCUUAAACUUAGAGAAGUUAGUGUUGAAUCUGAGAAUUAUAUCCAAAGA
rnacentral:lncRNA from 1 species